AUUGAACGCUGGCGGCAGGCCUAACACAUGCAAGUCGAACGAGUGGCGGACGGGUGAGUAAUGUCUGGGAAACUGCCUGAUGGAGGGGGAUAACUACUGGAAACGGUAGCUAAUACCGCAUACCAUCGGAUGUGCCCAGAUGGGAAUAGCUAGUGGGUGGGGUAAAGGUUCACCUAGGCGACGACCCCUAGCUGGUCUGAGGGGAUGACCAGCCACCCUGGAACGGAGACACGGUCCAGACUCCUACGGUAGGCAGCAGUGAGGAAUAUUGCGCAAUGGGCGCAAGCCUGAUACAGCCAUGCCGCGUGUAUGAAGAAGGCCUUCGUGUUGUAAAGUACUUUCAGCGGGGAGGCGUUACCCGCAGAAGAAGCACCGGCUAACUCCGUGCCAGCAGCCGCGGUAAUUC
rnacentral:rRNA from 1 species